rnacentral:rRNA from 1 species
UGCGUAGGCGGCUUUUUAAGUCGGAUGUGAAAUCCCUGAGCUUAACUUAGGAAUUGCAUUCGAUACUGGAAGGCUAGAGUAUGGGAGAGGAUGGUAGAAUUCCAGGUGUAGCGGUGAAAUGCGUAGAGAUCUGGAGGAAUACCGAUGGCGAAGGCAGCCAUCUGGCCUAAUACUGACGCUGAGGUACGAAAGCAGUGGGAGCAACA